CUUUUAGCAGGGGUCCAGAAGGAAUCAUUUUGAAUAGCAUGGAGCCAAUUUAUCUAAACACCGUCUAAAAAGGUGUACGGUCUGAUUGUUACUGACAUCGUUUCAGGGUUGAAGGGGAAGAGUAGGAAAGCAGUGCAAAAGUUUGGUUUUAGGAUCAGUGGAACUCUUACUUCUCUCGGAAAUAAAACCUUUAUUUGGCGUGUUUACAAUUUUUCUAAAAAUAAUAAAUUUCGACUUGUACACAAAAUCUUGAAAGUAAUAUUGACACCACUCUAAAAACUCUUAUUCAAAUAUGUAUUCUCCUUUUUGCAAGCGUUCAUAUGUACAAUUUUAAUUUGAUUAGCAAGAUUUUAAAGUAAAUCCGGAAAAACGGACAUUUCUACGGAUAUGUACAUAUGUAGGAUUGAUUAUGCUAAAAAUGUUCUUUUCCAACCCCAACAAAAUGAUUAUUUGUGAUCGGGCCUUUUAUUGCUGAGGUCUUCAUGUAUCUAUGCUCCCUGAACAAACUCUACGAAAUCCAAAUUCUACCAUUUCAACACCAAUUUGAUCUCUUACAAUUAAUCAUUGCUGAAACGUGGCUCAACUCACGAAGAUGAAUUAAAAAUUCCAGCUUAUCAGUAAAUAACUCCACAUUCCUGCAGGGCAUAUGUAUUUAAGCACCACGUUCUGCAUGGUUUUGUUUCCUUUCGCCAAGUUCCCACGAACAAUGCAAUGUAUGUAAAUGUAGCCAGGACACGCUUU